rnacentral:rRNA from 1 species
UACAGAGGGUGCUAGCGUUGUUCGGAAUUACUGGGCGUAAAGCGCGUGUAGGCGGCCAGGUAGGUCUGAUGUGAAAUCCCGCAGCUCAACUGCGGAACUGCAUCGGAAACCGCCAGGCUCGAGUACGAGAGAGGAAGGUGGAAUUCCUAGUGUAGAGGUGAAAUUCGUAGAUAUUAGGAGGAACACCUGCGGCGAAAGCGGCCUUCUGGAUCGAUACUGACGCUGAGACGCGAAAGCGUGGGGAGCAAAC